CCAGAACAGAAGAGGACGUCAUAACUCCACCUUACAUCUGAUUGUUGUGGCAGAUAAAACAGAAAUGAUAAUAAUUAUCAUCACAUUGACUCUGGUGGUUGUGAUGCUGAUUCCUCUGCUUCUGGUUUGUCUGUGGUUGAGAAAGAAGAAAACUCUAAGCUGCACCGCUGAACCGAUAGAGACUUUAGAGUUGGAGUCUGAUCCGGUUUAUACAUCUCAGCCUUGAAACAAAACUGUAUGUGACUUUCUUCUGAUGCAAUCAAACCAGAGGGGACUCACCUGGAUGGAAGGAGAAGUACAGCAUUGAAGUAGUCAGUGGAGAACAGGGGGCUGUGGAGGAUGAGGAUACAUUUACCUUUAACUGCAAACAUUUUCAUUUUUAGUUUUCAUUAGCAGCAGCAGGUAGACGUCAGCUGCAGCAUGUAGCACAAGAUUAGAGUAGAAUGUAAGCUUUAUUGUUACCUGUGCAGGUACAUUACAUAAGUUCAGUAUUUUACUCAGUAUACAAAAUGUUAACAUUUUAAUGUAAUAAAGCGCUUUUAAGAAAUACUUUCACAUCAUACCUGGCCUGUCGGAGAAAGCCAAUAAAGUCUGUUCAAAACAGACACGUCAAACUGGAUUUGACAGCAUGUACAGUCUAUAUUUAAACACUGAAAUCAAACAGAAGAGAUAGAAGAUAGAAAGGUGUCAGAACACAGAGUGAAGUUGUAGCAUGGCUAGAUUAGUUAUGAAUUUUAAUAUUCAUAAAAUCAAAUUUUUUCCUCGUUUCAGGGCACCACCGGAGUUGUUAUAAUCCUAGAGUCUCCGGACCUCUAGGUAGCUUUUAAUAAUUAUACA